AGGGACAGUGCAUGAGGGAAGAUUGAGUUUACUGUACUUUACCAUACUGUACAUUAACUGUGAGCUUCACGGGAACCAAAUUAAUUUUCUCAAAGAGUUUGCAGAGGAAGGACCAUGAAAGAUUUUGAAGAGCUAAGGAAACUGUGCUGUACUGACAAUCCUGAUGAAAUCAAGAUGACUGCAGCCAGUAACGGUAUUGAGAAGGACAUAAAGAAGGGCGGAAACCUUAUAC